UACGGAGGGUGCAAACGUUGCUCGGAAUUAUUGGGCGUAAAGCGCACGUAGGCGGUUUGUUAAGUCGGGUGUGAAAGCCCUGGGCUCAACCCAGGAAGUGCAUUCGAAACUGGCAAGCUUGAAUAUGGAAGAGGGUCGCGGAAUUCCCGGUGUAGAGGUGAAAUUCGUAGAUAUCGGGAGGAACACCAGUGGCGAAGGCGGCGACCUGGGCCAAUAUUGACGCUGAGGUGCGAAAGCGUGGGGAGCAAACAGG
rnacentral:rRNA from 1 species